rfam:Glycine soja cultivar W05 scaffold4774_24, whole genome shotgun sequence.
UUUUUAUUGAAUAAUGACUGUUACAUGUUAUGUUCUGAUUGGAUUUCAAUUCUAUAAAAGAUAAAAUGCAUUAUUAUUUUUAUUGACCAAUCAAAAGGUUAAAUGCAGUAAUUGUGUUCA